rnacentral:rRNA from 1 species
CACGUAGGCGGCUUGGUAAGUCAGAUGUGAAAGCCCGGGGCUUAACCCCGGAAGUGCAUUUGAUACUGCCAAGCUUGAGUAUGGGAGAGGGAAGUGGAAUUCCUGGUGUAGAGGUGAAAUUCGUAGAUAUCAGGAGGAACACCGGUGGCGAAGGCGACUUCCUGGACCAAUACUGACGCUGAGGUGCGAAGGCGUGGGUAGCAAACAGGAUUAGAUACCCUGGUAGUCC